AAGAGACAGCAGCAGCCGCGGGAAUACAGAGGGUGCGAGCGUUAAUCGGAUUUACUGGGCGUAAAGCGUGCGUAGGCGGCUUUUUAAGUCGGAUGUGAAAUCCCUGAGCUUAACUUAGGAAUUGCAUUCGAUACUGGGAAGCUAGAGUAUGGGAGAGGAUGGUAGAAUUACAGGUGUAGCGGUGAAAUGCGUAGAGAUCUGGAGGAAUACCGAUGGCGAAGGCAGCCAUCUGGCCUAAUACUGACGCUGAGGUACAAAAGCAUGGGGAGCAAACAGGAUUAGAUACCCGUGUAGUCCUGUCUCUUAUACA
rnacentral:rRNA from 1 species